UACGUAGGGCGCAAGCGUUAUCCGGAAUUAUUGGGCGUAAAGAGCUCGUAGGCGGUUUGUCGCGUCGGGAGUGAAAUCCACUGGCUUAACUGGUGGCUUGCUUUCGAUACGGGCAGACUGGAGGUAUGCAGGGGAGAACGGAAUUCCUGGUGUAGCGGUGAAAUGCGCAGAUAUCAGGAGGAACACCGGUGGCGAAGGCGGGUCUCU
rnacentral:rRNA from 1 species